rnacentral:rRNA from 1 species
GGGGUUAAAUUAAUAAAUAUAGGUUUAAUAAAAAAAAUUUUAACAUUUAAAAAUGGGGGUUUGAGUAUUUUUAAUAGGAAAAAUUUAAAGUUUUAUAGUAAAAUAUUACUGUAAGGGAAAUUAUAAAUAUUUGAAAAUUAAUUAAUUAAAAAGUAAAUUUAAUUUAUUGUAUCUUGUGUAUCAGAGUUUAUUAAGUAGUAAUAAUUUAUUUAAAUAAAUCUCGAAUUUAAAAGAGUUAAUUAAUUUAUAAAUUUAAUGUUGAAUAAUUAUUUUAAAAAUUUAAUUAGAAAUGAAAUGUUAAUCGUUUUUAAAUAUAUCUAGUUUUUUUAGAAAAAAAUUUAAUUUUGAAUUUAAAUAAUUUUAUAAUUAAUUAAUUAAUUAUAAAAAUUUAAUAUUUAAUAUUUUAAGGGAUAAGCUUUAAAUUAAAAAUUUAUAAUAAAAUUUUAAUAUUAAAAUUAAAAUUUUUAAAAUUUAUAUUGUUUAUAAAUUAUAAUUUAUUUAUAAAAAAUUUUAAUUAAAAUAAAAUUUAAAAUAAAAUUUAAAUUUUUAUAAAAUGAGAUAAUUUUUAAUAAAAUAAAAUUAGGGAUAAUGAUAAAAUUAGUAUAUUAAAAUAAUAAAAAAAAAAAUUAUUAAAAAAUAAAUUAAAGGAAUUCGGCAAAAUUUUAUAUUCACUUGUUUAUCAAAAACAUGUCUUUUUGAAAUUAAUUUAAAGUCUAAUCUGCCCACUGAUAUAAUUAUUAAAGGGCUGCAGUAUAUUGACUGUACAAAGGUAGCAUAAUCAUUAGUCUUUUAAUUGAAGACUUGUAUGAAAGAUUUGAUGAAAUAUAAACUGUCUCUAAUUUAUAAAUAGAAAUUAAUUUUUUAAUUAGAAAGUUAAAAUAUUAUUAAAAGACGAGAAGACCCUAUAGAGUUUUAUAAUUUAUUUAUUUAUUUAAUAUAUAUAUAUAUAUAUAUAUAUAUAUAUAUAUAUAUAUAUAUAUAUAUAUAAUAUUUAAAUUUAAUAAAUAAUUAAAUUAUUAUAUUGGGGUGAUAAAAAAAUUUAAUAAACUUUUUUAUUUUUAAACAUAAAUAAAUGAAAAAAUGAUCCAUUAUUAAUGAUUAAAAGAAAAAAUUACCUUAGGGAUAACAGCGUAAUAUUUUUUUUAGUACAAAUAAAAAAAAAAGUUUGCGACCUCGAUGUUGGAUUAAGAUAAAAUUUAAAUGCAAAAAUUUAAAAGUUUUGAUCUGUUCGAUCAUUAAAAUCUUACAUGAUCUGAGUUCAAACCGGUGUGAGCCAGGUUGGUUUCUAUCUUUAAUAAAAAAAAAUACUUUA